GAGAGAGAAAGAGAGAGAGAGAGGCUUUAGGCCAAGUGUGAAAGAAUCAGCCAAAUCGCUAGCAAAUGACCGUAGCUGGGAUCGAGUUACCUCCAGGCUUCAGAUUUCACCCCACUGAUGAGGAGCUAGUCCUUCAUUACCUCUGCAGAAAGUGCUCCUCGCAGCCCAUCGCCGUCCCCAUUAUCAAGGAGAUUGACCUUUACAAAUACGACCCCUGGCACCUCCCUGAAUUGGCCGUCUGUGGUGAAAAGGAG
rnacentral:misc_RNA from 1 species